CACCUAUUCCUAUCUCCCAAAGCCCAGCAACCUCCCUCCCGGCGGCCCAUCUUUUCUCUCCUCCUCGAGCCCAUAUUCUUACCGUACCCGUUCGCAAGCGGAGACGCUCCUCCCUUCGUCUUUUUCCCCAGGCACACACGCAGGAGACGUGAGCCUUCACUGUCGAUGUCACCGAGCACUCACGCCUCUACCACCUGCUUCCUCUCCUCCUUUUAAUCCCCAUCGAGCCCAGGAAACCCUAGACGCGCCCUUCUACUCCCUCGCGCCGCCAUGUCUUUUUCCCCUUUGUUUUUUUGCUUCUCUGUGAACACCACCGUAUGUAUCCUCCUCAACCUCACCAUGGCGUCGCUGCUCCCGGCCACCCCUUGACGAGCUGAGGCCAUCUCCAGAACCGCCUCGACGUCCUCGUCAUCCUCCUCCAAGGAAUCAAGCCGGGGCUCUCCCAAUCGUUCCCAAAUUCGCCAAUUCCUUCUCCAGGUCCGGCGAGAAAAUCACCGAUUUCGGCGCUGUCCGUCCUCCUCCGGCCCGGAAGUGGCCUGCAACAUGUUCCUGAUGCUCAUCGUCGGGCUUCCUCCGGCGGUUCCCCGACGCCAAGACCUCCACCAACGAACUCCCCUUGGUCUUCCACUUCGAACGCGCAGACUCCCGCAUCCAGGCGCGCGCUCCGCUGCCAGAUCGAGGAUCGAUCUGCAACAUGGUUGCCACCGUCAAGUCCGGCCUACACUACUUCAUCUCAUCACGUGUCUGCUACUGUUCACCAAUCCUCUACCAGCCCACUGAUCUAGUGCUGGCCUUGGCCCGUAUCUCUCCCGGUGUAUCCAUCGCCCAACGCGCAGCAGGCCGCUAUCCUCCGCUGCCUCUACGCAGGUCCAGCCCAACUCGUCGCCUACACAUUUGUUUCUCUUUUAUUUUGCAGGAAAUGUUUGAAUCUUGCUAAAAUCAUAUUUUCUAAACCGUAACUCGAAAUAAAAUGAGUUAUAUAUGAAAAUUGAUCAGAAAAAUGUAAGAAACAUUAAUAUGCCAUCCAUAUGCCUGUUUGCAUCUUGCAUCAUGUCCAGCCGUGAUAGUUUGUGCAUUCACCUAAUAUGGAACUACGGAGUAUUUCGGAUAUCCAACAAGGAUUUCCUCGCUCCGUUUAAUAUUGAAGUAGCUCACCCCUGCCAUGUUAUGCCAUGCUAACAACCAUUUAACUUUGCCGGUAGAAAUGCAACUCGAACCUAAUAAUUGUGUGUCGGGAUUCCGAUUCCGCUUAAUAUGAAUAAGUUGCAUCGCAUCAUGUUUGCCAUGACAUGCCUAUCAUAUCAUGAUCAUGCUGAUUCUUUUUCCGUAGUAGUAAGAUGUGCAUCCGUUGGUUGUUGUAGCGCUUUGCUUCUUCCCGGAUAGGAUCGCGAAGUGGUGUGGUGAGAUACGACAAGUCCUCCGGAUGUCCCUCGGCAAGCUUUAACAGGCAAGCAUUUCCCUUAUACUUCUGCCUCUGCAGAAGUCGCUCACCUAUUUUAUUUUACCUUCUCCCUCAUGCUAUCCUUGAGUUGCGUUCUUGUCACGUGUCCCUUCCACUUGUUACCUCAAGCAGCCUAUAUUGCCUCCACCAACCACCUACAGCUAUUGUUUGGUUAUCGGGUCUGCCUUGUGAGUCAUAGUGCAUGCUAGUGCUGUUCUAUCUCGUUACCGUUACCGCUAUCUUAUCGGUUAUCUGUUGGGAAUCAUGACACAUGCUACAUGGUUAUAUAUGUUGAGGGAAUCGUGGUUACUUGUUAAUAGUUGUUAAGCGGAGGCAUCGGUGGGUCAGCUGAUCAUUUUGUGACGGCUCACUUGUGUUUCUUUAAAACCUAGGACCCCGAGUUCUUAUUAUCUGUUCCGAGACUGAGCGCUCUAACCACACGUGGGUGUGUUUCUGGGUCUCCCCUCGACCACUGCCGGAAUCUACAGCUUUGUCCAGUGGCCACAACUAGUUUGCAAUGUUUUACCAUUUGUCGUUUGCGUGUAUGCCAGCAUGUUACUUAUUUAUUUUGGGAAGCCCCUGGGUGCCAUGUAUCCCUUGUUUCUGGUAUGCACGUAUAGGUCGCGGAGCCUCUGUGAAGUGGUUUAUCGCCCCAGUGUGUGUUUAAACCACCUAGCACGCUGGCGCACAUAGCUAAGUCCGCUUCGGAGAUACGGCCGGACUUCGAUACGGGUUUAACUUGGUUAGCUGGCUUCCUGGACAUUGUUGUCAUGAAGGAGAGUGCGAGUCGUGAUAUCCACCUGUCGCAAGUGGGUUGAUCAUGCGUGUGGGCACAUUUGGGCAACCCCUGCAGAGUGUACAUCUUAUCGAUAAGCCGUGUCCACGGUUAUGGACGACUUGGAGCUGUAUGACUCGACCAUAGACAACUUACACCAGUUGUUUCAAUCAUAAUAACUUGUGUAGUAAGUUAGCACAACUUCAAUAAUAACUGGUUAAAACUUGACAACCGUGUGAGUGCCUUUGCAAGUACUUCUUGGUGAAGGGGGAACACAUCGGCUGUGUUAUGUUUGCAGAGUAUAGAACUGUUAGUUAUGUGCUCUCUCACCUUCUCUGAUUAGACGAAUGUUGUAGAGUGUCUCUAUAGGUUUUUAGUGCUUGCGCGCUGCCGCUUAACCCCACCAUAUUUCCUAUGACGUUCCUCUUGCAUCCUCUAAGUCCCCUGCGUGCCUCAAGUACAAAGGACGACUGGUUGACGAAUGCUUAUACGUCUUGAAGUCUUGUUAAGUACGAACCCGUACUUAUUGCUGCUUCUACGGGAUAUAACCGGGCAGGUAUGAAGAUAUGUUCGAUGAAGACGACGCUAGCAAGGUUACCCUUCUGGCUUGGCCUGGGCAGGGUUAUGGACGCCAUCGUUUAUCUUCAGGACUCUUAGUCCAAAUUUGUAUCUUGUCCGUACUCGGACAUAUUUGAUCUUAUGUAUGAUUUGGAUCUUUGUAUUGUAUAUUUGUAUCUUGACUCAUUGGAGUCGUUGUUGUAAUAUAUAUCUGUAUCUUGUGGGCUC